AUACAAAACUAAAUAAACGAUGAGAACAGUGAGAAGUUUGUUAUA
rnacentral:guide_RNA from 1 species